rnacentral:lncRNA from 1 species
UAUUAAUAGUUUUAGUUAAAAUGGCUUAGACUGAGGUAGAGAUUUUCCUCAUCCAGGUGGCCCUUAUUUCUCUCAUAAAUCAAGUUUUUAAUUGAUUUGAUUUAUGAGAGUUUCUUUUCCAAGUGGGCCCUUCUGUUCCUUCUGGUUGCUUCCUUCCUCAUUUUCUGCCCUUGUUAUUCCAGGUAAAGCUUCAGUGACUGAAGGAGUGUGGACUUUUUGAAUUUCAAGAACAAUAAAGUUGGAACACAGCAGAGGGUGUGUAAUAAAAGACAAUAUAGAUUGGAAGGAAGACUGAUGAAGAAAAAUAACAGCAUGAUUCAGGCACACCACUGAGUUCUUUGGGAUGCCGAAAAGUGUAUGGUUUGGAAACAUGAAAUAGAAGACGAGACCCUGACUCAGCAAGUAUACCUGAGAAUACUUUUAGAGGAACCUGUCGAUAAAUGCAAAACAGCAGCUGUUGGAGCCUUUAAUUUUUAUCUCCUCCACAAUGUAUCGUCAAGAUCAGGGACACCCAUUAUUUCAUAUCCAUUAUUUCAUAUCCUGUGACCUUUGGUGGAUGUCUGGCUUUGGAUGCACUGGCUCUCUUGGUAAGGCACAGCCUAUGUUAUUGUUAUAUGUUACCUUGAUCCUUUAGGAUUUUUGUAGUCUUUUUUUUUUUUUUUUUCCAUCUACCAAUGAAGAACACUACAAAUGUACCUUGUGCUGAGUAUUUUACGUGUCUUUGUCACACCGUCAUGAAAGCAUUAAGCGAGUCCCAUUUUGCAGAUGAGGAAAUAAGGUUCCAAGUGGUUAAACAACUGGCCUGCUAUUCCCAGAGAGUAAGUGGCAAGAAUGGGAUUCAGCACUGAGUCUGUCUUAAAUUGUGUAUGAUAGAAAUAGUAUGCCCUGCUGUAUUCCCUUUUUGAAGCAGUUUUAAAAAUAUUCUUAUUCAGCUGGGCAUGGUGGCUCACACCUGUAAUCCCAGCACUCUGGGAGGCCAAGGCGGGCCGAUCACCUGAGGUCAGGAGUUUGAGACCAGCCUGGCCAACAUGGUGAAACCACCUCUCUACUAAAAAUACAAAAAUUAGCUGGGCAUGGUGGUGGGUGCCUGUAGUCCCAGCUACUCAGGAGGCUGAGGCAGGAGAAUCACUUGAACCUGGGAGGCGGAGGUUGCAGUGAGCUGAGAUCUUGCCACUGCACUCCAGCCUGGGCAACAGGAGUGAAACUCCAUCUAAAAAAACAAAAAUCUUAUUCUUGUGGAAUUUUAAUCUUCUUUUUUAGCUUUUGCUACUUUCCCCCCAUUUCAUGACAUUUUAUUUGGUUUAUAAUUAUAACACUUAAUUUGAACCAUUAAAAUUAAAUAUUUUCAACUUUUAUUAUUUUUAUAAUAUCACUGAGAAUAUAUUAUUGGUAUGAGACAUUAUUAAAAUAUGGCCUCUUUCUCACAUAGGCUCUGAUGUCUUUACUGAUUAUAUGUUUUCUGAGUUGAUUAUGAGUCUAGCAUGGGAGACAGGAGUGGACUUUUAUAUUUCUAAUAUAGUCCUACUAGUACAGAGUUAUUGAAGAU